UAGCAUAAUCACUUGUUCUUUAAAUGAGGACUCGUAUCAACGGCACUACGAGGGCUAUACUGUCUCCUUUUUCUAAUCAGUGAAACUGAUCUCCCCGUGAAGAAGCGGGGAUCAAAAUAUAAGACGAGAAGACCCCAUGGAGCUUUAAACUCACUAUACACCUCUGUGCCUUUAUGUCACUAGACACAAGAGAUCUGCGUACUAGUUUUAGGUUGGGGGGACCACGGAGUAUAAUUUAACCUCCAUAACAAAUGGGCUAACACCCUUAUCUACGAGACACAACUCUAAGAAUUACUAAACUAAUGCUUAUGACCCGAUAUUCGAUCAAUGAACCAAGUUACCCUGGGGAUAACAGCGCAAUCUACUUCAAGAGCCCAUAUCGACAAGUGGGUUUACGACCUCGAUGUUGGAUCAGGGUAUCCCGGUGGUGCAGCCGCUACCGACGGUUCGUUUGUUCAACGAUUAAAACCCUACGUGAUCUGAG
rnacentral:rRNA from 1 species